UGGCGUUCCGUUUGUCCGCUUCGUGGAAUAUUUUUCGGUUUUAAAACUUUAGCGACAUGUACGAUCGACGCCAGUUGAUUGCGGCCUUAAAGUUCAAUUCCUUACGGGAUCGGGGGCACCGUGCACUGAUCCGGGUAGUUUUUGGCCUGCAUUGUCGACAUGAGAUAAGAAGCAGCUGAUGCCACGAUUUCUGAAGUACGUUACUUGCACUGUAUCGGUCGAUUGUACACUUCCAGAAACGAAUGGGACAUUAAAUCACAACGAUGCGGAAGUAUUAACGGAGAUGGUUGGUAAAGUGCGCAGAGCGACACUAGAUAGGAAAUUUUGUGAUUGCCCGACAUAUACCCAGAAUCAGCAACAUAUGUGUUCUGGAUGUUCCGUUUGUAAAUAAAUAUCCAAAGAACACAUGACAUACCUUGUCAAAAUGUAAACAAAACAGCUCUUGGUGGUAGUGGAGCUUAUUCAACGGAACAUGACAACUAACUAACUUUACUGUGCGAAUUUUUCAGCUGACAAGAUUAUGCUCUUGCUCCUACCAAUGGUGAGUGUGUCGUUCUUGAGCAUAGAUUAAAUAGGCUGCGUGUUCCCGUAUGCGAUGCGCUUGUAGGAAACGAUUUAAACUUUGAGAAAAGAUACUAUAUGUAGCCCAAGAGAAAUAUGCUUCAGAUAGGAAAACAGCAACGUACAACAUUUGCCCGCGCUUUAAAAAUUUGAAUGAAACGGAGUAAGCGAGAAAGAAACGAAACGAAAGAACUGAAGCUGAUUGGCAUUUUUAGUGGAUCUAUCUAGCGGAAAUAGGCUGGUCUGUUCAGAAAAUAUAUUCAAAGCGAGUAGCUCCAUAUUGAGGACUGCAAUGAGGAAAUAAUGAUACCCACUAAAUCGUAGAUAUGGGUAUGUAGAGUUGUUAGCUGGGCGGAAGCAACACUGCUGUAAAAUUAGUACUGAGCGUUUAUUAUGCAAUAACGAGUCAGUUUGCUAUGUUACAUUUUACACCUCUUACCUUUCAGAUCGUAUAAAUAUUGGGAGUUUUCCUGCUUGCCGUACAGUUAAUCCACCUACAUAAAAAACAACAGCAACAUACCAUUCUAUGUAAUCAAUCCGUAUUUUUAUAUAUUAUAUUUAUAUUUCCUGAUUAGUGAUUAUACAUCAUAUUAUCAUGAUUUAACCUGUUCUACAAUAUUCCGCCACGUCACUCGGUCAGUUGCUGCUUGUCUCCAACCUCUCAGGUAUCCGAUACUCGCCAGGUUCUGCUCCACUUGGUCCAGCCACCGGGAACGCUGCGCUCCUCUCCGUCUUGUACCUGCCGGGUGGGAGGUGAAAACCAACUUGGUGGGGUUGUUGUCCGACAUCCUCACAACAUGCUCCGCUCACCGUACCCUUCCAGCUUGAGCUACUUUCCGGAUACUUGGCUCACCAAUCACCAUAGAGUCGCGCAAGUUCGUGGUUCAUCCUUCUCCUCCACACGCCAUCCUUCUGCACACCUUCGAAGAUCGUUCUCAACACCCUUCUUUCGAAGACUUCGAGUGCUUGCAAAUCGCAUUGUCCACGUUUCGUGCCCGUAGAGAACCAACGGUCUAAUCAGUGUGUUGUACAUGGCGCAUUUUGUGCGGUGGUGAACCUUCCUGGAUCUCAAUCCGUAUGCAUCAAUCCUCAAUUGUUUUUCCACCAACUAUUUUGCAUAAUUCAAGUCGUAAUAAUCUAAUAAAUCGACUGAUUUUCUACUUUUAGAGUUUAAUAAAUGCUUUAUGUGGAUAAAUCGGUGGCAAAGCUGUACACAAUUUUCCCUACGCAUACUACCAAGCGUUCAAUUCUUACACAUGCUCAAAGAAAGUAACUUGAGCCUUAACUCACUCAAACUGUAUUUACUCACUCAGACUGCACUUGCAAACUCAAGUACACUCACACACACUGUACUUGAUACUCAACCAUUAACUCACUAAAACUGCAUUUAUUUGCUUCAAUAAAUUAACUUCACACAUAGACUGAACUUGACACCCACUCAUUGUUACACUCAAGCACUUGCAUACACAAAUAUAUUCACAUUCAUUUGAACACAGAUUGCACAUGAACAUUCAGACCCUCCUACAUGUAUACUGCACUUGCACACUCUGUCUAAAAGACGAAUUUCAUAUCGAUUUGCCUCGGUCUUCACUACACCUGCACAUUAAAACAUUGUGACAUUUCGACUAGAGAUGGGCCAUUCUUUCGCGAACGGUUCAAACGAACUAGUUCUUCGUAGAGAAUGAGUGAACAGAAAUUCUUUUUAAAAGAACGGUAGUUCUCAAUUCUCUUUAAAACGAAUGAGCUGAACAUCACCUAAAGCCGUUUAACAUAUUAUACGGGCCGAUUUUUAGGUGAACGUAGUGGCUUAGAACAAUGUGCCAUAUAUACUGUAUCACCUAUGAUAACAUAGUAUAAAAAUACGAUUCACAGUAAUACACGAUCGUUUCACUCGUUACCACAAUAUGUGGCACAAGGAGGCACACUUUUGACAACUCAAAAAUUGUCAACAAACUGUAGCCAAAAAAUCAUAGCAACCAUUGUUUUUGUUUUACUGAACACUAUGGCACAUCGUGGCACAUUGCGGCACAAGCUACCACGCUGUUUGUUUGUAGGCACAAUUCGAUUUGUGCUAAGCGACUCGCCCCUUGAAAUGAACUGACUUGUUGUCGAACAAACCGCUAUCGGUGCUCUCUUAUGACGAUUUCGCUUGAACCCGAAACAGAGUCAGUUUCUAACCCCAACCGCUGUAAGUUCAUACAUUUUGACAGCAGUUGGGGUUAGAAACUGACUCAGUUUCAUUUCAAACAACAACCACAUUAGUGUGGAACCGGGCGAAGAAUGACACACAAGCUAAAUAAAAAUAUUGAUCUCACUCUCUACUUCUGUCAGUAUACAUCAUAAAGAACUCGUUACCCUUGGUGAAACCGUUCAGCAUACAAAAAUAUAACAGGGCAGGAAUCGUUCUGUGAGAGCUCUCGCGCAGAAAUUUUAUUGCAUCUCCCAGAUUCAAAUGUUUUGAGAACCAUUCACAAGAUACGGGUAAAACAUCAGCUGAACGAAAGAACGGUUCAUGCGAACUAGUUCUUUUUACAGAACUGUUCGAUCGGGAAUGGUUCUUCGAAGUGAACUGUUUUGCCCAUCUCUAAUUUCGACUAAGUGCACUUAAAUACACUUACACAGAUUGCACUCGACAUUCAAACAUUACACUCAAACUACACUUGCAGAAUAUAAUAUAAUCACACACAUACCUAACCUGUGAUUUUUCUUUUUCAUUUUUGGAAUUAGGUAUUUCAAAAAUGGAGAUCAAAGUAAACUUGAAACAAUUAUUAUCGUAACCUACCUGACAACUGGAAAACCCAACCUGUGGAUCAACGAAUAUUUCCUCAGCUAGGACAGGCCCCCACCAUGUAUCCAUAAUACUAUGCUUUCAGCAUUUUCUGUACACACCGGUGCUGAACGCUGUUCUAACCAGAUGCCGUUGAAACAAAUAAAAAGUGGACAAUAAUGAACAGAACUCCUGUGGUUCAGUCAGAUUUUUAUGGCAUGAAUGUACCGGCCACGUCAUAUAAACACUAGAUGACUGAUUAUCCGACCCAAUAUAGAAGCCUACAAUGUUUACCUAAUAGCCAGCCCACUCGUUACGAAAGCAAACAACGAUUUAUUGCUGCCAUCACACUUGAAUCGGGGUUUCCUUACGAACCAUCGAAACAUUCGGCAAGGAAAUUCGCCGCCGGAGACUGGCAAUCGAGCAGCCCAUCAUGUGAUUUAGUGAUGACUUUCUGUUCAAAAUUAGCUGCUGCCCACAUUGGACCUAAUUUCACUUUAACCGGUGUUAAAGAGGGCAAUGUUAAAAGGAGUUAUUAUUCAUCGCAUUCUUAUGCAUUCUUUGAUACAUUACCCCGUAGUUUUUUCAGGCUUUGAUUCCUAUAUAUACCAUUUCAGGCAAUUAAUACUGUCAUUGCAAAUGGCACGGCGCUUGUGGUUGAAAUCAGGGAGUCACUUUCAUCCUUGCUGACCACUAUGCAGUACUUGAGACAACGGCAUCUUCCAACUAAUUUACCAAUCGAGUUCUGGAUAAUUAGCUUAAAGUACUAAUGUUUGAGCUGCAGAUUAGGCUAGAAAACUUCCGGGUUGUGUCAUGCAGACUUCCAAAGGUAUAGUAAUACUAUUUGCGGCUAAUCUGCAAAGUGUUGGCGGAAUGCAGUUGGAUGCCAUUAGACUAUCCUGGAACAUCGGAACGUCUACAGAACGUUAGUUUAAAAAGUGGCCUCAUAAUUGUUGAACCACUCGGAAGAAUUUAGAUAAUAUUCGUUCCAAAAUUACAUUGAUAGUUAUCAGUGCGUUUUGAGUUUUGCAGGCAUUUCCAAAUUGAAAAAAGAAAAUAAAUUGGGCUUCUAAAACUAAAAAGCUUGCAAUAUGUUAGGAGCAAAAUUUAGAAUUUAAAUAUGUAAGAUGUAAGUUUAAUUAGGAUUUAAAUAUGUAAAAAAAACUUAUUGUAAUUGUUAGAGAAUACUUUCAUUCGAAAUCACUAUUUUUGUACACAAUGAAUCAUAACCUCAAAUCGCCCUCUGGCGGUGGUCCAAUGUGGGUCCAACGCUCCAUAUAAAAAUUCGUCCAACGAUGGACCCCUGUUAGUCCAAUUUGUUGGACGAAUCGAAGCUGUCAUAACUGCUCGACGUCCAAAAAAGUGUAUCAAAAACGUCUUUUGCAAGUCCUUCGUUAUGCGUUCAUUGAACGAUUUAUUGGACGUUCGUUGGACCGUCGCCCAACAAAUUGGACCAGCGAAGGACUCUCGUUGGGCGUUUUUUUCUUAGAGGGCAGCCGGAAUGUUGGCUGGUUCUAAUUCGCAUUACGGCCACAGACUAACAGACAUAACACUCAAAAACAAAGCUUCGCCCGCUUUAACGGUCAUUUUAAAUAUAUUUGUAGUUGGGACUGUGGUCACAUUUGAAAUUAUGGCGCCACUGACAUAUGAACAAGCAUGUGGGGGAUAGACCACUAGUGAAAAAUUGUUCCCAAACCUGAGGGGUAACCCACCAGUAAAUAAGUACUAUGCUAUAUUUCACCCUAAGGAGGAAAAUUUGGUAAAAACCAAAAUUUCUCACUAGGGUGAAAAUUUGUUGGUAAAAACCAGUCUUUGUA